CAGUAGCCACGGGAAUGCGUAGGGGGCAAGCGUUAUCCGGAAUUACUGGGUGUAAAGGGAGCGUAGACGGUUAAACAAGUCUGAAGUGAAAUGCCGGGGCUCAACCCCGGAGCUGCUUUGGGAACUGUAGAACUGGAGUGUCGGAGGGGUAAGCGGAAUUCCCAGUGUAGCGGUGAAAUGCGUAGAUAUUGGGAGGAACUCCGGGGGCGAAGGCGGCUUACUGGACGACAACUGACGUUGAGGCUCGAAGGCGUGGGUAGCAAACAGGAUUAGAGACCCGCGUAGUCCCUGUCUCUUAUAC
rnacentral:rRNA from 1 species